AUGGCGCCACCGCCACUCUUAGACCGGGCCUCAUCAGCAGCAAUCCCGUCAUCACCGCCAUCGAUGCCGGCUUACACACCGUCGCGCGUCGCGGGUGAAUUUUCGGUGCGAUUCGCUAUAUUUUUUCCUACAAUUGGGUCGUUCUUCACGGCGUCGCGGGCGCUGGCCCUGGCGUGCUCCUUCGUGGCCAGCACGCAGCCACGCGGCCGUAUUUUUGCGAGAUGCUGGAGGAGGGAGACGAGGAGGAGCGCGCCUAUCCCUCCUACUCAGGCGAGGGGUUGGAUGUCGUUAUCGGUGUUGUGGCCUCCUUGGACGCCAUUUCUCUUUAGUUUAGCCAAUGGUAGUGCUCGUUUAGUCGUCGAGUUCGCAUUCAGCAAUUCAUCCCUCAUUAGUCCAGCACUUUCCCUUGGGACAGCAUCAUCUUCUCCCAUGGACUUAGAUUUCCCAGCUGGUAGUAGCGGCAAGGAUGUUGACACCUUCUUCAUGGACAAAGAUAUGAUGCAACUCGUCAUGGCAUGCCUGUCGCCGCGUAGGAUGCUGAUUUCAUGGUCGCCGCCACCACCAAGCCUGAUGGCAGUAGCGGGGUUUGGUAGCCUGCAGAAUUGUGAUGACGACCGCAUGUCACCUUUGCAGACGGCCCUCAUCCCUGCACAUGCCAGUCCUGCCACCAUCCAAGGUGAGCAUGCGUCCUUUCCGUUAGCUCACUUUACCUUCUUCUUUUACUUCAAUCUUCCAGUUCUGCUCCGUAUAGGUGAUAAUUCCCAAAGGAAACUAGAAUGUGUUGGUAGUAAGUGGCAUCUCCACGCUUUACUUCAUGAUGGCAGCACAUAUGGUUUAUCCGUGUUGAAGGAGAGGCUUAUACAUCCUCUCGGAUAUUUCGAAGAGUCCACUGAUUCAUGCCUCCUAGUUCAGGUUUGGGCACCUGUCAACAACAAAGGCCGCUCUGUGCUUACCACUUCAGGACAACCUUUCGUGCUUGACCAUCGGAAUACCAGGCUUCUUCAGAAGCGGCCCGUAUCCAUGAUGUAUACCUUCUCUACUGAAGGCAGUAAUGUAGGGGAAUUUGGGUUACCAGGUCCGGUAUUCAGGCUCAAAGUUCCAGAAUGGAGACCCAAUGUUCAGUACUACAGCAGCAAAGAGUAUCCACUGCUUAUCCAUGCAAUGAGUUACAAUGUUUGUGCUGCUAUUGCCUUGCCUGUGUCUGAUCCUCAUACAAAGUCAUGUGUUGCUGUUGUUGAACUUAUACUGAUAUCAAAGAAGGUGAAUUUUGAGUCUGAGGUUGAUUUGAUAUGCAAAGGACUUGAGGCAGUUAAUCUCACAAGUUCUUAUAUUUCAUUCCACCCAAGUGCCCAGAUACUCAAUCACAGCCGUCAAUCUGCUCUGGUUGAUAUAUUGGAAAUUAUCACAAUUAUUUCUGAAACACACAAGCUGCCCUUGGCUCAAACCUGGGUUCCAUGUUGGAAUAACAGAAAUGGUAUGUGCCAUGGUGGUAGCCUCAAGAAUUCAUGCUUACAUUUUGAUGGUUGUUGCAGUCACGGAGUAUGCAUUUCAACCUGUGAUGUGGCAUUCCAUAUUGACGAUGCUCAUAUGUGGGGAUUUAGGAAUGCAUGUGUGGAGCAUCGCCUACAGAAGGGACAGGGGGUUUCUGGAGACGCAUUUCUCUCAAACAUGCUCUGCUUCUCGAAAGAUGUUAGCCAGGCCUCUAAACUGAAAUAUCCCCUGGCACACUAUGCUCGUAUAUUUGGGUUAGCUGAUUGUAUUGCAGUUUGCUUGCAGAGUUCAUACACCGGUGAUGAUGUUUACAUAUUGGAGUUUUUCCUGCCACUAGAUUGCCGAGAAGAUGGUGAGCAGAAGGCGCUUCUGGAGUCUAUGUCAGUUCUGAUGAAACAGAAUCUGCGCAGUUUGAAUGCAUCUUCUCAUGGAGACUUCGGAUCUCCUUAG
rnacentral:rRNA from 1 species